AUGUCGAUGGUGUACAAGGAGGAAUCACUACCAGUACCAACCAUCCCAGCUGAAGAAGCGAUCGCGCCACCGUCCUCCAACUUGCACCAGCAUCUCGGUGAGCUCCUGCAGAGUGAGACGGGAGCCGAUGUCACCUUUCUUGUGGGCGACGAGUCUUUUGCUGCUCAUAAGAACAUACUUGCCGCGAGGUCUCCGGUUUUCAACGCCCAGUUCUUCGGAGACAUGAAGGAGAGGUGUUCGGCACGCGUGGAGAUCGAGGACAUGGAGGUGGCCGCAUUCAGGGCCAUGCUGCACUUCAUCUACACCGACACGGUGCCCGAGCUUGAUCACCCGCUCCAGGAGGCGACAACAAUGGCUCAGCAUUUGCUUGCAGCCUCAGACAGGUACCAACUCGAUAGGCUCAAGCUGAUUUGCGAAAUAAAGCUCUCAGGCGGCAUCACCGUCGACACCGCAGCGACAACUCUUGCCUUGGCAGAGCAGCACAAUUGCCUGAAGCUCAAGGCCAAAUGUAUCAAGUUCAUUGUCAGCACUCCCGUGGUUCUUGGUGAUGUGUUGGCGACCGAGGGGUAUAAGCACCUCGAGGCAAGCUGCCCUUUGGUGUUGACCGAGCUUCUCAAGUCUGUCCAUGUGACGAGGUAG
rnacentral:rRNA from 1 species